rnacentral:misc_RNA from 1 species
AGCAGCCGCGGUAAUUCCAGCUCCAAUAGCGUAUAUUAAAGUUGUUGCAGUUAAAAAGCUCGUAGUUGAAUUUCGGGAUUAAUAUGUUGGUCGUGCCUUGGUACGUACUGGCAUUAUUGAUUCCUACCUUCUGAAGAACCUCGAUGUCAUUAAUUUGGUGUCUUGGGGAAUCAGGACCGUUACUUUGAAAAAAUUAGAGUGUUUAAAGCAGGCUCGCGCUUGAAUACAUUAGCAUGGAAUAAUGAAAUAGGACGUUUGAUUCUAUUUUGUUGGUUUCUAGGAUCGACGUAAUGAUUAAUAGGGAUAGUUGGGGGCAUUAGUAUUCAAUUGUCAGAGGUGAAAUUCUUGGAUUUAUUGAAGACUGACUACUGCGAAAGCAUUUGCCAAGGAUGUUUUCAUUAAUCAAGAACGAAAGUUAGGGGAUCGAAGACGAUCAGAUACCGUCGUAGUCUUAACCAUAAACUAU